rnacentral:rRNA from 1 species
GAAGAGGAGAUCUAUAUGGAUCAGCCUGACGGGUUUGUGGUAAAGGGUGAAGAGAGAAAGGUGUGCAAGUUGUUAAAAUCUUUGUAUGGUCUGAAACAGGCACCUAAGCAAUGGCAUGAGAAGUUUGAAAGAACUCUGACUUCUGCAGGAUUUGUCAUUAACGAGGCUGAUAGGUGUGUUUACUAUCGCCAUGGUGGGGGCAAUAGUGUCAUAUUAUGUUUGUAUGUGGACGACAUACUGAUCUUUGGUACAAACAUUAAUGCAAUUAAUGAGGUCAAGUCUUUUCUAUCGAAAAGUUUUGACAUGAAAGAUCUGGGAGAAGCCGAUGUAAUUCUAAACAUCAAACUUAUUCAGGAUAAGAGUGGGAUUACAUUAACGCAAUCUCACUAUGUUGAGAAGGUCUUGAACCGAUUCGGUUUUAUGGAUAGCAAGCCUUCUCCAACACCUUAUGAUCCCAGCGUGACACUCAGAAAGAACAAGAAAGAAACGAGAGAUCAAUUAAGAUACUCUCAAAUUGUCGGUUCACUCAUGUACUUAGCUAGCGCUACAAGACCAGAUAUCUCUUUUGCUGUGAGCAAACUGAGUAGGUUCAUGUCCAACCCGGGUGAUGAUCAUUGGCAUGCACUAGAAAGGGUCUUGUGCUAUCUGAGAGGUACUAUGAGUUACGGAAUUACUUAUUCAGGGCAUCCUGCUGUGCUAGAAGGA